rnacentral:lncRNA from 1 species
GAGUUGAAGUUGAACUGGUGAGUGGCCAAGACUUCGACGAACUUGGCGACCAAGAGGAUUAGAACGAGGUAGUAUCCUUCCGACGGGGAGGAGCCUUUACCGGAUGUGAAGUCGACGAAGCUUUGGAUGAGGACGGGACCGACGUAGAUGACGCUGAGGCGGAGGAUCGCUAGAACCGCCGUGAGAGCCACUUCUUUCCAGAAACAUCGGAGAAGAGUGGUUCUCACGGGGUUUCUCGAAUUCUCCUGAGGUUUAGGCCAUUUGGAUUCGAAGAGAGCCGCUAGCUUCUCGGCUCUGUGCUCCGGAGAGAGCGUCGGGACUUGAUCGAGGCUCAACGGAGACUUGUAGCCUUUGCUGAGUAACGGAUUCAUCCAUAUCCAGAACGUUUUCGAGAGAAACGACGCCGUUGCGUACAGAGACACGUUCUCUGAUGACUUCUCCAAAACGACGUCGUUUGACUUCGCCGGGAUCGCAACGCUGCUGGUGGUUACUAUUCCCGUUGAGCCUCUGAUGGAUACGAUGAGCAAGACGGCGGUUAGAGGGAAGGAGACGAAGGACGCGACGUCGUCGGAUCUUAGGCUCGCGGCGGAUGGAUCGCCGGAGAUGAGGUGGAGUAUCCCGGAGACGGCGAAAAGAGUGGUGACGAUGAAACUUGAGACCCAGUAGAUUCGUAACGUUAACGGAUGGUUGGUUGAUGCGAAUCUUUUCUCGUGGAGAACCAAAACGGCGAUGACGGCGUAAGUAACGGCGUGGAUUAGCCAGAACAGAGCGUCGACGAGUUUUAGUUUGGUACGUGUGGUGAAGGCCAAAACGCAGAGAACGAUUGAGCAAAACGACAGGAGAAUAGUGGCUACGACUGUCGUUUUGAACAAACCGGUUGUUCUGGUUACGGUUCUUCUUGCGAUCAGAGGCUUCCUGAUGUCAGCUUCUGUUGUAGUAGAAGAAGAGGAGCAGAGUUUGUGGAGAGCGAAGAAGGUUAGGAUGAUGAGGAAGAGUAGAUCGACGGCGGAGGAGNNNNNNNNNNNNNNNNNNNNNNNNNNNNNNNNNNNNNNNNNNNNNNNNNNNNNNNNNNNNNNNNNNNNNNNNNNNNNNNNNNNNNNNNNNNNNNNNNNNNNNNNNNNNNNNNNNNNNNNNNNNNNNNNNUAUAAUCUCUUUGGCUACACUUACCCGGUACCAAAUGUUGAGCCAUGCCAGAGGAAUCACGAAGAAAACAGUUGGCCAAGCAUAUUGGCAGGUUACUAUGAAGAUGCUGAGAAGAGUAGUAUACAUUGCAGCCACUAGUCCUAUCAUAAAGGGGAUGAAGAUAUCCACAUUGGUCUGAUCAGUAGAUGCCUGCAACAUAACAUAUACUAAUAACCGUUAAUUCUGGAAAUGAGUUAAAUCUCUGUGCACUAGUACAAAAAUACAUUCGCUUGAGCCGGACAAAUUCUAGAGUUUGUUUUAAACUUUGCGGUUAAUUUGCGUUUGUUCACAACAAUAACAAAGUUUGUCUCUCACCCGACUGAGAAUUCUUCCCGAUGGCGUGGUGUCGAAAAACGACAUUGGUGCGUGCACAAGACUGUUGAGAAUCUGUUUGAAGAAGAUCUGAGCAGUCUUGAGACCCAAGUGAGUGAUGUAAAAUGCCCUGAGGCAGACAAGAACAAUGGAUAGAGCAGCAAUAAUGAGGUAGACGCGGAUGAAGACUGAAGGGUCGAAUGAGACCGCGUUUUUAGCUGAUGUUUCGUAGGCGAGCCAAUAAUCGCUAGCCAUUAUAGAGCCUUGCCAAGCCAGAGAGAAGAAGAGAACAAGUAUCAUUCCCCACCAGCCGUAAGCUUCAGUUGAGUAUAGUUUGUAAACUUGAAAGCUCACUUGUCCCACUUCUCUUUCUUCGUCUUUGAUCAGUCUAGACCCAUCUUCAGGGAUGUUGGAGCCGAGGAAUGACUUGAUGUGUUCAUCGUUUAGCUCUCCUAAACGAGGAGACUCCAUUGAAGUAGUCCUCUGUAUUCUUGGAGAUUCGAGUGAAGUAGUUCUAUGUAUUUUUGGAGAUUUUGGUGUUGGUGGUUGACGAGGAGAUUCUAUUGAAAUUGAUCUUUGUGUUACUGGUGAUGUCGUUGGCACAUUUGCUGAGCCAGCUUCAACUAGCUCCAUUGAUGUCUCGUGCGCCGCUACCAAAGCUCCAAAAUCUAAACCACUGCUCACUAACUCGUCGUAUUUUCCGGAUUGCACAAUCAUUCCAUCUCUCAUAACCUGUGAAAAUGCAACCACUCAUUGGCAAAUAUAUUACAUCACAAAACCAAACAAAGUUUCUAUCGAACCGUACCAAGAUGCAAUCAACGUUGUGAAGGAAGUCUACUUGAUGAGUUACUAGCAAUACAGUCUUUCCUUUCAAUGCUCCUCUUACACAUUUCUGCACAAACAUCACCACAAAGAUAUAAUAAUCAGGUGUAUUGCUUUUGAUUUAAGUUCAAUAUUCAGACAGGGACCUUAGGUGGCUUACCUUAAAUAUGUCUGAACCGGUAUGAGCAUCCACGGCACUAAAGACAUCAUCAAGUAAAUACACAUCGGCUUCCUGAUAAACCGCACGUGCAAGCUGUAUCCUCUGCUUCUGUCCACCACUAAGGUUAAUCCCACGUUCCCCAAUCUCUGUCUGGUCUCCAAACUCCAUCAUCUGCAAAUCUUUGUCUAAACAACAAACCUUGAUAACUUCAUUGUACUUGUUUGAAUCCAUAGGAAGACCAAACAAAAUGUUGUCCUGAACCGUUCCAUUCUGAAUCCACGACGUCUGCGCUACAUAGGCCGUGUUCCCACACACCCGAACCUUCCCUGAGAUCUUAUGCAUUUCUCCAAGAACCGAAGCUAGCAACGAAGACUUCCCCGAUCCAACGGUCCCUACAAUAGCAGCGAGCUCUCCCUUCUUUACCUCAAAGUUUAUGUUCUCAAUCGCAGGCUCGUCGUCGUCGUCAUCCCAGCUGAAGCUCCCAUCUUUGAUCUCCACGGCGACAUUCCCUUCACCACACCCUUGGACCCUUUCCACAGUCUCUCCAGACAGCUCUCUGCUCGUCAUGUAAGCGUCGAGUCUCCCGAGAGAGAUCAUCGCCUGCGAGAGAGCGAUCAUCGACUGCGGAAACGUCCUGAUCGGUUCUUGCAGAAUCUUGAAGAUAGUGGUCGUGGUGAAAACCGUGCCCGCGUCAAGCUUGACUCCCAAGAAAACCGCCGUCGUGAAAGUGAGCGCGGAGAUCAAAACCGGCGUGCUCCAUAGCACGAUGAUGUUACCGGAGAUAGAGUAAAGAAACUUGGACAGCCACCCGAACUCCAUCUCUCUAAACUUGAGGAUCCUCUCGUUGAAAUGAUCCUCCCACGCUUGAAACUUGAUCACUCUCAUGUAGUUCAGCAUCUCAUUAGUGGCUUUCAUACGCGAGUCGCGGUUCAUCAUCAAGCUGAACUGAAACCUGUUGUUCCUCUUCGUCCCCAUGAGAAUGAACACGAAGAUUCCCGUUAAACCGAUGACCGUGGUCACAACAGAAGGUCCGAGGACACCGUAGAGAAGCACAAGAGCAACCGCCACUUGCAAAGGCAUUAGCCAGAUUGCGUGCAGCUGAAGCAUCAUAUCGGAGAGCUGCUGCGCAUCCACAGCCAUGUAGUUAACUAUCUGCCCCACGCCGUGGUUCUGACGAGCCGAGCCGGUUAGCUUCAACCCUUUCUUGUAUAAAGCUGUUAUCAGAGUCGAUCUUAUGAGCAUCCCUAGCUUCUGCGAGUUGAAGUUGAACUGGUGAGUGGCCAAGACUUCGACGAACUUGGCGACCAAGAGGAUUAGAACGAGGUAGUAUCCUUCCGACGGGGAGGAGCCUUUACCGGAUGUGAAGUCGACGAAGCUUUGGAUGAGGACGGGACCGACGUAGAUGACGCUGAGGCGGAGGAUGGCUAGAACCGCCGUGAGAGCCACUUCUUUCCAGAAACAUCGGAGAAGAGUGGUUCUCACGGGGUUUCUUGAAUUUUCCUGAGGUUUAGGCCAUUUGGAUUCGAAGAGAGCCGCUAGCUUCUCGGCUCUGUGCUCCGGAGAGAGCGUCGGGACUUGAUCGAGGCUCAACGGAGACUUGUAGCCUUUGCUGAGUAACGGAUUCAUCCAUAUCCAGAACGUUUUCGAGAGAAACG